CACUAGAAAGAAUGUCAGAGUCAAGUAUGGCAAGAUUGCGCUCUCUAUUUAUGAGUGAUGAUCAAGUCCCCAGUACCAUUUUUCUAAAGUUGAGAGCUUUACGUGUCUUAGAUUUAGAAGAGGCGGGUAUAGAGGAGUUGCCGAAUUCAAUUGGCAAGUUGAAGCAUUUGAGGUAUCUAGACAUUUCCUACACAAGAAUCCAGGCACUCCCAAAAUCUAUUGGCAAGCUGUAUAACCUUCAAACACUGAGAAUGCGUCGUACAGAUCUCAAAAAGUUGCCGCAGGAAAUGAAAAACUUGAUCAACUUGAGACAUGUUUAUUUUGAUGAGGAAAUUGAGAUUCCAGCUGGUAUAUUGGGGAAAUUGUCCAAUCUUAGAACAUUACCUUACUUCAGUGUGGGCAAGGAGACAGGACCUGGAAUUGGAGAGUUAGGUGGCCUGAAGCAAUUGAAAGGCCGACUAACUAUUUUGAAUCUAGAACAUGUGAAGAGUGAAGAAGAAGCGAAGAAGGCAAAAUUGGAGGAGAAGAGAGAUGUAUGCGAGCUAACAUUUGAAUGGACAAGAGACGACAAAAAUGAGGAAGAGUCGGAGAGUAGCACAAGCAGCAGCAUUAAUGAUGAGCAUGAACAGGUACUAGAAGGCCUCCGGCCCGAUACUAAUUUGCAAAGGCUGCAGAUUGAAGGAUUCAGGGGUGCCAGAUUUCCGUCAUGGGUGAUGUGUCUCAACAACUUGAAGAAGAUUAAAUUAUUCGACUGCCCCAAUUGUGAAGGAGUUCCAGCACUGGGUCAGCUACCUAAUCUUAGACGUGUCAAGAUUUGUAGGAUGGAUAACCUAAAAUGUGUGGGAGCUGAUGGUCUAGACUCGUUCCCUCUUGUUGAGCAUAUGAGUAUAUUUGGUUGUCCCAGCCUAGAGUCGAUUCGGAUCACACAGGGCAUUGCUUCUCUCCGUGAAUUGAUCAUAAAGGAUUGUGAUAAUCUAACAUCACUUCCAACCACACAGGGGGGUAUUGCAUCUCUAGAGUUGGAGAUUAGUAAAUGUGAUCGAUUAUCAAGCCUACCAAGUGGUCUCCUCCUACGCUGCACCUCUCUGAAGCUUCGUUAUUGUCCUAAUCUAACAUCAAUAUUUCCCAUCACACAGGAUAUGCCAUCAUCUCUCCGUAAAUUGACGAUUACAGCUUGCACGGGAUUAUCAAGUCUACCACUAAGCGGGCUCCUCUCUCUUGAUGAGUUGAGGAUAUACGAUUGCUCUAGUCUAGCACCAUCCAUUUCAGUCCCAUCAGGCGUCCUCCGCAGAUUGAUUGUUCUUAAUUGUGAGGAAUUGACAUCCAUUUCAAUGACGACGUCAAGUCUUCUACUUUUGGAGUUGUGUAUAGGGAAUUGCAAUAAUCUACAAUCUAUUGUUCCAGCAGAUUUACAGGGCUUCCCAUGUCUCCGUGAGUUGAUAAUACGACAUUGUGGGAAAUUAAAAUAUCUGCCGACAGGGUUUCACUGCCUCACCCGAUUGAAGAAACUGUUUAUUGGCCCGUUCUGGGAGGAGCUCCAUUCCUUCCCUGAGUUUCAGCUUCCACCACAUUCACAACUUGAAGAGUUAACCUUGAGAGGGUGGCCUAAGCUCAAGUCUCUGCCCCAGCAAAUUCAGCACUUGACUUGUCUAAACAAGUUGUAUAUAAGUGGGUUCGAAGGAGUGGAUGCUCUUCCUGAGUGGUUGGGAAAUCUCACAUCUCUUGAGAUUCUGGAAAUUAGGAAUUGUGAGAAUCUCAAGUAUCUACCUACACUUCAAGCUAUGCAGCGCCUCACCAAAUUGGAGAUGAUCUAUAUUACGAGAUGUCCCCUCCUCAAGGAAAAUUGCACCAAGGACACAGGCCCUGAAUGGCCCAAGAUUGCUCAUAUCCCAACUAUCGACAUCUAGGAUUGAAGCUAUGCAAUGCCCAAUGGUUUGUCACAUAUCAAGAGAAUAAUGUAGGUCUGCAAUAAUUAAAGCUAUGAGAAUCCUCACUAAUCUAGCAGAACAGGAUAAUUGUUUCCCCUGAGCCUUGAGGUGUGAGAAUAUUCCAUUUUUGCAGAUUACUUUCAUUCAAGUUAUGAAGUACAACAAUUCCUAAAAGCAUUGCACACUUUAUUGUACUCAAAAUGGAAGAACAACUGAUGAUGUGCGAUGGACACAGACCUGGUACAGGUCCAAAGAUGAAGGAAUUGGAGCACCCAGUUCAUGAUCUCUGGUGCCUACCACAGUUUUCAAAUUGGUUAAUUCGGCUCUUGGGAAAGGGUUGCAACUUUGGCCGGUUUGAGAACAAGCUUCCCUCCGCAGUUUGGAUAAGCGCCACUCUGUGCAACAAAAGUCUUGUAGCAUUUGUGGCCUUGUGGAACCUUCUGUCAGAAUUCUCAUUCAUGCAAUCUCUUGGUCCUUCGCCUAUGGAGCUCCAAUUAUCCUAAAUGGAGCGAUAAACGGGUGCCCUGGUCAAUUUGAUACUAUGGCCUUGGUUUGGAGCUACUCAAGUAUUGUUAGAAGUUUUGCCAUUGCUUUUAGGAAGUUUUUGCUCUGUACUAUGAAUUAUGUAAGGAUUAGUCUGAGUCAUCUGACAUCAAUCAGAACCAAGUGAAAACAUUCUAAAUAUGUAUGCUAAUACUGUAGAAGGCUGACAGCAGCACAUUAGAUUUAAAGGAAUCAAUGAUCAAUAUAUGACUAGUGCACUGGUUCUGAUCUUGAGGCUUUAGUAGAAUAACUACUUCUCAUAAAUGUUAGUGGCUCUCAAAUUGGUUUAAGAUUCUGUUUGAUGAUUUUGUACUUGGAUUGCUAGACGGUAGAGGCCAUCAGUUGCUACGUCUACCAAUCUUGACUAUCCCUCAAAUUAUAAAGAAAUAGUCUACACUGAAGCAACAUAGAACUGAUCAUAUCACAGAGAGGGAAACCCUGUAACAUGAACAUUUAAAUAGCCACCCUAAUACCUUAAAACAAAGGGAAAUAUAUUUGAGGAUACCAGAAGAGCUAAUCCUUAAACACAAUGGUAACUCCCAGUGACUGUAAAUCCUUCUUUUUAUGCAGCAAAAUUUAUUAGACCCUUCAAAUCUGGAACUUGAACAUAUAGGACCUUGCUGGAUUGUAAAUAGGAACUGAGAAUAUGAGGUGGGAAUCAACUAGCUUUGUCCGGCUGUUCCGCCUUCUAAUUACAGCGAACGAACCUCUGCUCAUUAUGACCAUCUAUAUUGACAUCUAGUAUAGGUGGUAGAUGGAACAUGAUCUUAUGUGAAUAAACAAACAUUACUUUGUUGAACAAUAAACAACACUAGAAAUCAACCCCAUGCUAUGUCGCGA